rnacentral:rRNA from 1 species
AACGAACGCUGGCGGCAUGCCUAACACAUGCAAGUCGGACGAGACCUUCGGGUCUAGUGGCGCACGGGUGCGUAACGCGUGGGAACCUGCCCUUAGGUUCGGAAUAACUCCCCGAAAGGGGUGCUAAUACCGGAUAAUGUCUUCGGACCAAAGAUUUAUCGCCUUUGGAUGGGCCCGCGUUGGAUUAGCUAGUUGGUAGGGUAAAAGCCUACCAAGGCGACGAUCCAUAGCUGGUCUGAGAGGAUGAUCAGCCACACUGGGACUGAGACACGGCCCAGACUCCUACGGGAGGCAGCAGUGGGGAAUAUUGGACAAUGGGCGAAAGCAUGAUACAGCAAUGCCGCGUGAGUGAUGAAGGCCUUAGGGUUGUAAAGCUCUUUUACACGGGAUGAUAAUGACAGUACCGGGAGAAUAAGCUCCGGCUAACUCCGUG